CCUACGGGAGACAGCAGUGGGGAAUAUUGCGCAAUGGGGGCAACCCUGACGCAGCAACGCCGCGUGAUUGAAGAAGGCCUUCGGGUUGUAAAGAUCUUUAAUCGGGGACGAAUUUUGACGGUACCCGAAGAAUAAGCUCCGGCUAACUACGUGCCAGCAGCCGCGGUAAUACGUAGGGAGCAAGCGUUAUCCGGAUUUACUGGGUGUAAAGGGCGGGUAGGCGGGGAUGCAAGCCAGGAGUGAAAUCUGGGGGCUUAACCCCCAAACUGCUUUUGGAACUGGGUGUCUUGAGUGAUGGAGAGGCAGGAGGAAUUCCCAGGGGAGGCGGGGAAUGCGGAGAUAUUGGGAGGAACACCAGUGGCGAAGGCGGCC
rnacentral:rRNA from 1 species